rnacentral:rRNA from 1 species
AUUGAACGCUGGCGGCAGGCUUAACACAUGCAAGUCGAACGAGUGGCGGACGGGUGAGUAAUGUCUGGGAAACUGCCUGAUGGAGGGGGAUAACUACUGGAAACGGUAGCUAAUACCGCAUACCAUCAGAUGUGCCCAGAUGGGAUUGGCUUGUUGGUGGGGUAACGGCUUACCUAUGCGACGAUCCCUAGCUGGUCUGAGAGGAUGACCAGCCACACUGGAACUGAGACACGGUCCAGACGCCUACGGUAGGCAGCAGUGGGGAAUAGUGGACAAGGGGCACAAGCCUGAUGCAGCCAUGCCGCGUAUAUGAAGAAGGCCUUCGGGUUGUAAAGUACUUUCAGCGGGGAGGCGUUACCCGCAGAAGAAGCACCGGCUAACUCCGUGCCAGCAGCCGCGGUAAUAC